rnacentral:rRNA from 1 species
GUUGUAUAGUCAAGUAAUUAAGUGCAUGUGGUGGAUGCCUUGGCAGUCAGAGGCGAUGAAAGACGUGAUAGCCUGCGAAAAGCUCCGGGGAGGCGGCAAAUAUCCUUUGAUCCGGAGAUGUCUGAAUGGGGGAACCCACCUACUUUAAGGUAGGUAUUGCAACAUGAAUACAUAGUGUUGCAAGGCGAACGAGGGGAAGUGAAACAUCUCAGUACCCUUAGGAAAAGAAAUCAAUUGAGAUUCCCUCAGUAGCGGCGAGCGAACGGGGAUCAGCCCAUUAAGUUAUGUGUGUUUUAGUGGAACGCUCUGGGAAGUGCGAACGUAGAGGGUGAUAUUCCCGUACACGAAAGGGCACACAUAAUGAUGACGAGUAGGGCGAGGCACGUGAAACCUUGUCUGAAUAUGGGGGGACCAUCCUCCAAGGCUAAAUACUCCUGACUGACCGAUAGUGAACCAGUACCGUGAGGGAAAGGCGAAAAGAACCCCUGUGAGGGGAGUGAAAUAGAUCCUGAAACCGCAUGCAUACAAGCAGUGGGAGCACCUUCGUGGUGUGACUGCGUACCUUUUGUAUAAUGGGUCAGCGACUUAUAUUCAGUAGCAAGGUUAACCGUAUAGGGGAGCCGUAGAGAAAUCGAGUCUUAAUAGGGCGUUUAGUUGCUGGGUAUAGACCCGAAACCAGGCGAUCUAUCCAUGAGCAGGUUGAAGGUUGGGUAACACUAACUGGAGGACCGAACCCACUGUCGUUGAAAAGCCAGGGGAUGACUUGUGGAUAGGGGUGAAAGGCUAAUCAAGCCUGGUGAUAGCUGGUUCUCCCCGAAAGCUAUUUAGGUAGCGCCUCGGACGAAUACCAUAGGGGGUAGAGCACUGUUUCGGCUAGGGGGUCAUCCCGACUUACCAAACCGAUGCAAACUCCGAAUACCUAUGAGUACUAUCCGGGAGACAGACUGCGGGUGCUAACGUCCGUAGUCAAGAGGAAAACAAUCCAGACCGCCAGCUAAGGCCCCAAAAUCAUAGUUAAGUGGGAAACGAUGUGGGAAGGCAUAGACAGCUAGGAGGUUGGCUUAGAAGCAGCCACCCUUUAAAGAAAGCGUAAUAGCUCACUAGUCGAGUCGGCCUGCGCGGAAGAUGUAACGGGGCUAAAACUAUGUGCCGAAGCUGCGGAUNNNNNNNNNNNNNNNNNNNNAUGCUGGAGGUAUCAGAAGUGCGAAUGCUGACGUGAGUAACGACAAAACGGGUGAAAAACCCGUUCGCCGAAAGACCAAGGGUUCCAGUCCAACGUUAAUCGGGGCUGGGUGAGUCGACCCCUAAGGCGAGGCCGAAAGGCGUAGUCGAUGGGAAAAUGGUUAAUAUUCCAUUACUUCUGUGUAAUGCGAUGAGAGGACGGAGAAGGCUAAAUCAGCCUGGCGUUGGUUGUCCAGGUGAAAGGAUGUAGGCAUGUAUCUUAGGCAAAUCCGGGGUACUCUAUGCUGAGAUCUGAUAGCAAGCUGUACUUGUACAGCGAAGUGGUUGAUGCCAUGCUUCCAGGAAAAGUCUCUAAGCUUCAGUUACACAGGAAUCGUACCCGAAACCGACACAGGUGGUCAGGUCGAGUAGACCAAGGCGCUUGAGAGAACUCUGCUGAAGGAACUAGGCAAAAUGGUACCGUAACUUCGGGAGAAGGUACGCUGUUGUUGGUGAUGGAACUCGCUUCCUGAGCUGACGACAGCCGCAGAAACCAGGCCGCUGCAACUGUUUAUUAAAAACAUAGCACUCUGCAAACACGAAAGUGGACGUAUAGGGUGUGAUGCCUGCCCGGUGCUGGAAGGUUAAUUGAUGGGGUUAGCGUAAGCGAAGCUCUUGAUCGAAGCCCCAGUAAACGGCGGCCGUAACUAUAACGGUCCUAAGGUAGCGAAAUUCCUUGUCGGGUAAGUUCCGACCUGCACGAAUGGCAUAAUGAUGGCGGCGCUGUCUCCAGCAGAGGCUCAGUGAAAUCGAAAUCGCUGUGAAGAUGCAGUGUACCCGCGGCUAGACGGAAAGACCCCGUGAACCUUUACUGCAGCUUGACACUGAACUUUGACCUUACUUGUGUAGGAUAGGUGGGAGGCUUUGAAGCUGGAACGCUAGUUCCAGUGGAGCCGUCCUUGAAAUACCACCCUGGUAAUGUUGAGGUUCUAACUCUGUCCCGUGAUCCGGGACGAGGACCGUGUCUGGUGGGUAGUUUGACUGGGGCGGUCUCCUCCUAAAGAGUAACGGAGGAGUACGAAGGUGCGCUCAGCGUGGUCGGAAAUCACGCGUAGAGUAUAAAGGCAAAAGCGCGCUUAACUGCGAGACCCACAAGUCGAGCAGGUACGAAAGUAGGUCUUAGUGAUCCGGUGGUUCUGUAUGGAAGGGCCAUCGCUCAACGGAUAAAAGGUACUCUGGGGAUAACAGGCUGAUACCGCCCAAGAGUUCAUAUCGACGGCGGUGUUUGGCACCUCGAUGUCGGCUCAUCUCAUCCUGGGGCUGAAGCAGGUCCCAAGGGUAUGGCUGUUCGCCAUUUAAAGAGGUACGCGAGCUGGGUUUAGAACGUCGUGAGACAGUUCGGUCCCUAUCUACCGUGGGCGCUGGAAAUUUGAGAGGAUCUGCUCCUAGUACGAGAGGACCAGAGUGGACGAACCUCUGGUGUACCGGUUGUGACGCCAGUCGCAUCGCCGGGUAGCUAUGUUCGGAAGGGAUAACCGCUGAAAGCAUCUAAGCGGGAAGCCUACCUCAAGAUAAGAUUUCCCUAGGACUUUAUGUCCUCUAAAGAGCCGUUCGAGACUAGGACGUUGAUAGGUUGGAUGUGGAAGCAUAGUGAUAUGUGAAGCUGACCAAUACUAAUUGCUCGUGAGGCUUGACUAUACAACACCCAAGCAGUUG